AGCAGACCAGUCCAGCACCCUGCACCAGCGGUCCAGCGCCCAGCCCAGAGCCAGAGUAUUUCAUUGCUUGGAGCAGUGCGUCGCCAGAACUUGAAGAGGAGAAGAGCACGUCAGUGAAGACUGCAGUCCAGUGAGAAAGAUCCCAACAAGGAUUGAUUUGUUGUUGCACUUCUACGUGUUUACCAUAGAAAUACAUGUGUGCAUGACAUAGAUGGUUCUCUCCUGGUUCUUUUGGUUUCAGGU